GACGUCGUAGCGACUUGAAACAAGGAUCAUCGGAAAGGGGAGAUCAUCGCGCUUCCGACGCACGUGAGGUCAUCCUCCUGUGAGAUGAGGAUCGCAGCGUAAUCAUACUUGACGGUUCUCGCAACGGAUGCAGUUAGAACAGAAGUGCAGAGCUUGCGGAGCAUCUGAUUCGACCUGAGUAAAAUUGCUUUGAUGAUUCGGCAGAGCUUGCGGCCACACCGCGAAGGAAGACGCAGCUCCAGUGGAUGCGGUUGCUGCACCGGAGGUUCCGG